GGAGAGGUGGCUGAGUGGCUGAAAGCGACGGUUUGCUAAAUCGUUGAGGGGUCUCACGGCUCCUCCGAGGGUUCGAAUCCCUCCCUCUCCGCCA
rnacentral:tRNA from 1 species